rnacentral:rRNA from 1 species
UUGAUCAUGGCUCAGAUUGAACGCUGGCGGCAGGCUUAACACAUGCAAGUCGAACGGUAACNGGNGAAGGGAGCUUGCUUUCUUUGCCGACGAGUGGNGGACGGGNGAGUAAUGCUUGGGAAUCUGGCUUAUGGAGGGGGAUAACUACGGGAAACUGUAGNUAAUACCGCGUAAUAUCUAUGGAUUAAAGGGUGGGACUUUCGGGCCACCUGCCAUAAGAUGAGCCCAAGUGGGAUUAGGUAGUUGGUUAGGUAAAGGCUGACCAAGCCGACGAUCUCUAGCUGGUCUGAGAGGAUGACCAGCCACACUGGAACUGAGACACGNUCCAGACUCNUACGGGAGGCAGCAGUGGGGAAUAUUGCACAAUGGGGGGAACCCUGAUGCAGCCAUGCCGCGUGAAUGAAGAAGGCCUUCGGGUUGUAAAGUUCUUUCGGUAGCGAGGAAGGUAUCAAAUUUAAUAGAUUUGGUAAUUGACGUUAACUACAGAAGAAGCACCGGCUAACUCCGUGCCAGCAGCCGCGGUAAUACGGAGGGUGCGAGCGUUAAUCGGAAUAACUGGGCGUAAAGGGCACGCAGGCGGUUGAUUAAGUGAGAUGUGAAAGCCCCGGGCUUAACCUGGGAAUUGCAUUUCAUACUGGUCAACUAGAGUACUUUAGGGAGGGGUAGAAUUCCACGUGUAGCGGUGAAAUGCGUAGAGAUGUGGAGGAAUACCGAAGGCGAAGGCAGCCCCUUGGGAAUGUACUGACGCUCAUGUGCGAAAGCGUGGGGAGCAAACAGGAUUAGAUACCCUGGUAGUCCACGC